GAUGAACGCUAGCUACAGGCUUAACACAUGCAAGUCGAGGGGUAACGAGAGGAAAGCUUGCUUUCCUUGUUGACGACCGGCGCACGGGUGAGUAACGCGUAUCCAACCUGCCCACAACUAGGGAAUAACCUUGCGAAAGUAAGACUAAUACCCUAUAAUUUCCUCAGAUGUCAUCUGACGAGGAAUAAAGAUUUAUCGGUUGUGGAUGGGGAUGCGUCUGAUUAGCUUGUUGGCGGGGUAACGGCCCACCAAGGCAACGAUCAGUAGGGGUUCUGAGAGGGAGGUCCCCCACAUUGGAACUGAGACACGGUCCAAACUCCUACGGGAGGCAGCAGUGAGGAAUAUUGGUCAAUGGGCGGAAGCCUGAACCAGCCAAGUAGCGUGCAGGAUGACGGCCCUAUGGGUUGUAAACUGCUUUUAUACAGGAAUAAAGUUAGCCACGUGUGGUUAUUUGUAGGUACUGUAUGAAUAUGGACCGGCUAAUUCCGUGCCAGCCGCCGCCGUAA
rnacentral:rRNA from 1 species